CCCCAGGAGGGUAUCAGCGAGUACCUUUGAUCUACUCCGCAGGGGAGGAAGAGUAGGCUACGGGCUCAAACACCGCCAUGUCCCGGUGCCGCCCGGCCUACAGUCCGUGAGUCAGCUGUUCAACAACCGCUACCAAGGAGCGUUUCAGCGCAAACAAGCGGCGUUUCCACAAACACGCAGCACAGAAAAGUCGACGGAGAAGCGAAAGUUCCCUGCGGGCUCAAGUCACACGGUUUGCUGACCUUCUCCCGGGAUACGUGUUCCUCUUUUUCUCGCAAUUAACAAGCUAACUUUGAGUCUAAAACAUGUGGCUCGCUGUCACAUAUCUGACCUGAGCCUCUUUGCAAACAUUUAACCUUGUGACGGGCAGCCGCAGGGAGAGACGCCGAGACGCUCCCGUUCCUUGAGACGUCAAAGCGGGUGCUUUUAAUGUGAAGCCCGGCGGGAGGUCCGCGCUGGAGCCAGACUCGAUAAUGAACACUUCCGGUCAUUGGUUUCAACUCAAGGGGACACCUACAGACAAGUACAAGCUGCAAAAUAAACUCAUGUUUUCAUGAAGCCUGUCAUUAUCGGUAUGUGGUACAGUGUUGAUUUAACGCUCUGAUCGUUUUAAAGCCUGAAUUAUAUUACACUAACCAGUAAUUUUAUUUAUCUGUUCAGUUUAUUUUAAUGGAAGCAGAUUUUUUUUUUUUACUUAACAUGUCUACACAAUAAUACAGUGUCUUUUGUUAUAUUGUCUACUGCAUUUUUUUGUGGGUCUUUAAUAUUUGGCUGGUUUUAGCCAAAUUUUGUUUUCUAAUUUUGUGUAUUUGUCAAAGGACUUAAAGGUCUUACAUAAAUAAUGUUUAUCACUAUUAUUACUCUAGUUAAUUGCAUCACACUACACCCAACACAAAACACGGCUGAAUCUGAACAAUAAAACUGAGACAUCUGCAUUAGGUUUAGAAAAUUAUAUGUAGAGAUUAAAAUAGAAGUCAGCUUGCUCAUAUUAGAAAUACUACCUUAAAAACAGAGGAUCCACACUUAAUUUGACUGUAGUAGCUCAACCUGCAGAAACCUCAUUAUAAUAUAUUUGUUUUUUAAUCCUAUUAAGUUCAGUUUUUUUGGCACCAAAUCUCAGCAACAGUUCCUACCAUGGGAAAACCCUAACAAUCAGAUGACCCCUUAUGAACAAGCACUUGGCAAAAGUGGAAAAGAAAACCUGUCUUUUAAAAGGAAGUAGCCUGUUAAAAACACAGCCUAGCUUAUUGCUGCAUAACUAAUGGAGAGUUGUUUCUCAAUUUUAUCAAAAAGUCCAUAUGAACCACAAGUAAGCCUGUAGUCUGAAAGCAAAGUUCUCUGUUGGGGUAAUAUGGUACUAUGAGGUCUUUAAGGCAUAAAGGGACCUGAUUAUUUUAUACGUGGAAAAGGAUGUUUAAUUCUUUUCUGGAUUUAACAGAGUCGAUAAAGACAAGUUAAUACAUAAGAGCAUGUCAGUUUAUUUGAAAGGACACCCGUUAUGUUUAUUUCCAGCUCCAUAUUUUUUAUUAUUUUACUGGAGCAGCUUUGCAUGACACACAGGUCAAAAUUAUCUUUAUUUAAUCUUUUCUGGGCACUGGUGCAGCCUCCACGUUCAUCCCUCUUUAGCCCCUUAUCCUUUAAAUCCACCUUUCUCUUAAACCAACUUUCUUCUGAGGCUGCUCCUCACAAACAUAGGGUUUGAACCACAGGUGAGUGGGCUUCAGUGCUCACAGCUCGCUGAAUGAAUAUAUUGUAAGAGGCCUAACAAGUUGCUUAUGCAAUGGUUUGAGGUACCCCCAUGACUCCUAUGAAAUUCACAUGACAUGCCACCUUAUAGGUUCAUAAACUUAAAACACUUUUUAAUGUAACAAAGUUACAUAUUAGCAGGAAUCUAAAUAAGAGCUUUUCAUUUUUAUUUGCAGUUUUGCUGUUCACUCACAGAAAAACUAUUUCUCUUACACCCAUCAGAGCACACAAUUAAAAUAUUCCCACCACAUUCACUCUGUAUUAAAAAAAACUGCAUAAAAUCAUUAGGAAGGUUCAAAGCAUAAUUUAAAGGGUUAUUUUACCCAGAAACGAUUCGCAACAGACAGAUGACUAAACAAGACAAAGAAAAA